AUUCUUUUUCAAAGAGAUCUGAUAUGAUCAAGCCUUCAGGACAAUAGCUCUGGUAUUGUACAAGUCCUGCUUGCUUUUCCUGCUCUUUUCAUUUCAAAGAAUCCACUGAAGAAGCUAUGGGAAAACUUGGCUUAGAUAAGAGACACUGUGCCCCAUAGACAACUGUCCUGCCUCUGGUCUCCCUGUGGACAUCUUCCUUUCCACCAACCCUGAGAUGGACACUUCAUGGAGGAGGAGAGAGUCUUGCACAAUCAUGAUCAAAUGUAUGACUUAUUUUUAAACUAACAAACAAUCCUUCUGACUCCCUCAGGAGACAAAUUCUAAUAUUUCCAAAAGAAAGUAGUCAACACCGCGGGCUGGCUCCCUGGGAUAUACUGUAAAUAGCCUCCAAAUCAGGAGUAAAGAAUGCAGUUGAGCUGGAAAGAACGAAGACAAGGCCCAGAGAAAUGACCACGUUGGCUUUGUUGUUUUUCUGAAUAUGUGUCCACUUUGGCGCUGCUCAGCCUGAUGUCGGCAGAAUAUAUUUAUCACCUCACAUAGCCAGGCGCUGUCAUGUGCAAUCAGUUGACAUCUGGGGGCUGUUUCAUGUUUCUCUCCUUCAUCUGCCCUCACUCAAGCAUUUGGAGACAUCAGUUACUAAACCAAGCAUGAAGAGAGAAAGCAGUGAUAAUAGGUCAUCUUCUAUAUUGUACCGCACAUAGUAAAACUAUAUUGAAAUAAA